rnacentral:rRNA from 1 species
CGUAGGGUGCAAGCGUUGUCCGGAAUUAUUGGGCGUAAAGAGCUCGUAGGCGGUUUGUUGCGUCGGCUGUGAAAUCCCGAGGCUCAACCUCGGGUCUGCAGUCGAUACGAGCAAACUAGAGUGUUGCAGGGGAGACUGGAAUUCCUGGUGUAGCGGUGAAAUGCGCAGAUAUCAGGAGGAACACCGGUGGCGAAGGCGGUUCUCUGGGCAUGUCCUGACGCUGAGGAGCGAAAGCGUGGGGAGCGAACAGG